GGCUCGGUCGUGGAGGGUCCACAUCUGCCCUCAAUACUUAGAAGGAGUACGUAUAUUGAUUGCAGAUAUUGCCUGUUCAACUCAGGCCCGAGCCA